UAGGGAAUCUUCGGCAAUGGACGAAAGUCUGACCGAGCAACGCCGCGUGAGUGAAGAAGGAUUUCGGAUCGUAAAACUCUGUUGUUAGAGAAGAACAAGGACGUUAGUAACUGAACGUCCCCUGACGGAAUCUAACCAGAAAGCCACGGCUAACUACGUGCCAGCAGCCGCGGUAAUACGUAGGUGGCAAGCGUUGUCCGGAUUUAUUGGGCGUAAAGCGAGCGCAGGCGGUUUCUUAAGUCUGAUGUGAAAGCCCCCGGCUCAACCGGGGAGGGUCAUUGGAAACUGGGAGACUUGAGUGCAGAAGAGGAGAGUGGAAUUCCAUGUGUAGCGGUGAAAUGCGUAGAUAUAUGGAGGAACACCAGUGGCGAAGGCGGCUCUCUGGUCUGUAACUGACGCUGAGGCUCGAAAGCGUGGGGAGCAAACAGG
rnacentral:rRNA from 1 species